ACCUCCUCUCUAACAAGAUCACCGAAAAGACAUUUUUUAAAAUGCAGACACGUCCUUGUUCAUUUCCAAUUCCGUUUCUCACACCAGUGUCACGUUAGGCCAUUAACUCACGUUCAGCUUUCAAGCCCUUACGUAAAGAACCAUUGUCUUGGCGUGAAUCACACCGCUACGAGCAGGUCAGGGGCAGGUGAAGGCGGGAGUUCACGUCCUAAGACUUCCCUGAAGCGGCGGGAUCUUCCGCACAGAAACCAACCGCAAGGCCAGACAAAACUGCUGCAACGGCUUUCAAAUCUGUCCCUUUCUAACCCCGUUCCCCCUGGACCUGCCGUGGCCGGAAGAGGAGGAGGAGGAAGACUCAUUUGGAAGCAGUGCAUUUUUAUCAGAGGGACUGAAAAGCCUUUCGAGAAUCAGUCAAGAAAAAGGAAUGUGCAUGAGAGUCACGGUGAGUAGCACUUCUCAUCAAACUAGCUGCCCAGGGGUGUUAAAGUGCUUUCUAAAAAGGGAACUAACAGGGCUGCUCACCAUUUACUGUUUUCUAAGAGCCUUAGCUAAAUUAAUCAUAGCACACACCAGCCCUGUAAGGUAAAAUGAUUCCUGGUGUUUUGAAAGCAAUCAGCGAUCUACAAAAAGGGAGGUAAUGUCCCCCAGAACCAAGAUUAAAACUCCGACGUUGAGGGAAUCUCCAUUCCCUUCCUGUCAUCAAAGGCCAGCUUGUUUGUGUCCAAGCAGGGUCUUGGGUGAGCCAAGCUCUGUUAAAGUGGCCACAGGAAUGAGAGGCCACCACACAAGUGAGGAUACUGGAGACAGUCCGUCUUCUGGGGCUGUGUGAAUGCAAGUUUAGUCGUGGGGGCUGUCACAUUAUAAGUGGACAGGUGUG
rnacentral:lncRNA from 1 species